GUCAUAAGGCAGGCUGAACACAACAUAGCCUUGAUUGAACCUGGACUCAUGGUUGACCCUCAUUUCAUGGAUAGAACCACUCUCUAUGGGAGAAGUGGAGUUUAUAGAUGGAAAGAACCUGAGAAGCCACUUCCUGAAAGGACAUGGUGAUCACUCUGCAGUCAAGAGCCAGACUAAAGUGAGAUUGGCAAAUGGACUUGGGAUGAAGAAGAAGAGCAGCAGCAGCAGCAGCAGCAGCAGCAGCAGCAGCAGCAGCAGCAGCAGCAGCAGCAGAUGUUAUCCUAAUGGAAAACUGGAGGCUCCUCAGCCCUGGGCCGUCCCUCCUGUGCUGGCGUGUGUGCCUCUCCGCUCAUGGUCUGCCUUGCUGACACCGCUUUGGCACCUGGAGUCAUCUACACGGUGUGAACGAGCCAUGCUGCAAGCUCCCUUAGCUAUGGAUCGAGCCACUCCAACUGCCAUGACCUCACCAUACAAUUGUGUCCCCGGCACUUCGGUAAUGUACGUGGUUAUCACUUGGUUAUACUGCCUUGUGACAGAGGCAUCGUUCAUCAUUUAAAAGCCCACAUCAGAAGAAGGUACUAAGAAAACGAGAAGUUCUUUCUGCAGUUACCUGCAGCUGAAACGUGGAGAGUGAACUAAGGAAGUAUGGCAGUGUGCUAAAAAAUAUCCAUAAAAAUCACAUAUAGGUAGUGGUUACCAGUGGCUGAAAUUGCAGGAGAGAAAGAUCUCACUUUUAAGUGACUCCUGAUGGAGCUACACGAUAUCAUGCGUAAAAAUGUAAAUUUCUUCUGCUGAAGAUAUUGCUAAGCAGAGAGAGAUACUCCAUGACAUCAUCAAAAAGCAAAAAUCGAAACCCCAAACGAGAGAAAUUCACGAGAUGAACGCUGAUGUUCCAAUUGACAGCAAGUACUAACUGGGCAUUUAAUAAGAUAAAUUGAUUAUUA
rnacentral:lncRNA from 1 species